UAAAAGAUCAGCUAAUUAAGCUAGUGGGUUCAUACCUCAUUAAUAGAAGUUAAACCUUCUUCUUUUUA
rnacentral:tRNA from 1 species